rnacentral:rRNA from 1 species
UACGAAGGGGGCUAGCGUUGUUCGGAUUUACUGGGCGUAAAGCGCACGUAGGCGGAUCGUUAAGUCGGGGGGUGAAAUCCUGGAGCUCAACUCCAGAACUGCCUUCGAUACUGGCGAUCUUGAGUCCGGAAGAGGUGAGUGGAACUCCUAGUGUAGAGGUGGAAUUCGUAGAUAUUAGGAAGAACACCAGUGGCGAAGGCGGCUCACUGGUCCCGGUACUGACGCUGAGGUGCGAAAGCGUGGGGGAGCAAACAGG